rnacentral:rRNA from 1 species
AUUGAACGCUGGCGGCAGGCCUAACACAUGCAAGUCGAGCGAGCGGCGGACGGGUGAGUAAUGUAUGGGGACUGCCCGCUAGAGGGGGAUAACUACUGGAAACGGUAGCUAAUACCGCAUACUAUCGGAUAUCCCAUAUGGGGUUAGCUAGUAGGUGAGGUAGUGGCUCACCAAGGCGACGACCCAUAGCUGGUCUGAGAGGAUGAUCAGCAAAACUGGGAUGGAGACACGCCCCAGACUCCUACGGAGGCAGCAGGGGGGAAGAUUGCACAAUGGGCGCAAGCCUGAUGCAGCCAGGCCGCGGGUAUGAAGAAGGCCCUAGGGUUGUAAAGUACUUUCAGUCGGGAGGCGUUACCGACAGAAGAAGCACCGGCUAACUACGUGCCAGCCGCCGCGGUAAUUC